rnacentral:rRNA from 1 species
UACGUAGGUGACCAGCGUUGUCCGGAUUUACUGGGCGUAAAGAGCGCGCAGGCGGUCGUUCAAGUCGGGGGUGAAAGCCCCCGGCUCAACUGGGGAGGGUCAUUCGAUACUGAUCGACUGGAAGGCAGGAGAGGGAAGCGGAAUUCCCGGUGUAGUGGUGAAAUGCGUAGAUAUCGGGAGGAACACCAGUGGCGAAGGCGGCUUCCUGGCCUGUUCUUGACGCUGAGGCGCGAAAGCUAGGGGAGCAAACGGG